rnacentral:rRNA from 1 species
AAGUGGUACGCGAGCUGGGUUUAGAACGUCGUGAGACAGUUCGGUCCCUAUCUGCCGUGGGCGCUGGAGAACUGAGGGGGGCUGCUCCUAGUACGAGAGGACCGGAGUGGACGCAUCACUGGUGUUCGGGUUGUCAUGCCAAUGGCACUGCCCGGUAGCUAAAUGCGGAAGAGAUAAGUGCUGAAAGCAUCUAAGCACGAAACUUGCCCCGAGAUGAGUUCUCCCUGAGACUUARAGUCUCCUGAAGGAACGUUGAAGACGACGACGUUGAUAGGCCGGGUGUGUAAGCGCAGCGAUGCGUUGAGCUAACCGGUACUAAUGAACCGUGAGGCUUAACCUU